GAGAUGUGUGAUGACGCAUAUCAAUAAGCGGAGGAAAAGAAACUAACAAGGAUUCCCUUAGUAACGGCGAGUGAAGCGGGAAGAGCUCAAAUUUGAAAUCUUCAAGGUUCUACCUUGACGAAUUGUAGUUUAUAGAAGUGUUUUCUGUUAGUAGAGUGGCAAAAGUUCUUUGGAAUAGGACAUCAUAGAGGGUGAGAAUCCCGUAUUUGGUCAUUCUUUCCUAGCUUUGUGAUACACUUUCAAAGAGUCGGAUUGUUUGGGAAUGCAGUCCAAAAUGGGUGGUAAAUUUCAUCUAAAGCUAAAUAUUGGCGAGAGACCGAUAGCGAACAAGUACCGUGAGGGAAAGAUGAAAAGAACUUUGAAAAGAGAGUUAAACAGUACGUGAAAUUGUCAAAAGGGAAGCGUUUGACACCAGUGUUGUUUUUCCGAAAAUCAAUUACGAAUGUUUUAGUUUUUGAGGAGUUAUGACUUCAUCGGCUUGCUCCUUUCUUUAUGAAACUUUCUUAAUGCACUUUUCGGUUAACAAGUCAACAUCAAUUUCUUUUGUUGUAAAAGGGUAUGAGGAAGGUGGCUUUCUUUUCGGAGAAAGUGUUUAUAGCCUUGUGCCUCUGCAAUCGGAGAGAUUGAGGUCUGCAGCGUAGAUCCUUCGGGGUUAGAUACGUUUGUGCUAAGUUAUAGCUUUUCAUAGACAACUUGUUGACUAUGUUUAGUCUUGUAGCUUACUCGCUUACGCUAUUUUACCUACGCUUAGGAUGUUGAAGAUGUAGCACAUCAU
rnacentral:rRNA from 1 species